rnacentral:rRNA from 1 species
UACGUAGGGUGCAAGCGUUGUCCGGAAUUAUUGGGCGUAAAGAGCUCGUAGGCGGUUUGUCGCGUCUGCUGUGAAAACCCGAGGCUCAACCCCGGGCCUGCAGUGGGUACGGGCAGGACUAGAGUGCGGUAGGGGGAGAGUUGGAAUUCCUGGUGUAGCGGUGGAAUGCGCAGAUAUCAGGAGGAACACCAAUAGCGAAGGCAGCUCGCUGGGACGUUACUGACACUGAGGUGCGAAAGCGUGGGGAGCGAACAGG